rnacentral:rRNA from 1 species
UACGUAGGGGGCAAGCGUUGUCCGGAUUUAUUGGGCGUAAAGAGCGUGUAGGCGGCUAGAUAGGUCCGUUGUGAAAACUCGAGGCUCAACCUCGAGACGCCGAUGGAAACCCUCUAGCUAGAGUCCGGAAGAGGAGAGUGGAAUUCCCGGUGUAGCGGUGAAAUGCGCAGAUAUCGGGAAGAACACCCGUGGCUAAGGCGGCUCUCUAGUACGGUACUGACGCUGAGACGCGAAAGCGUGGGGAGCGAACAGG